CAGUCGCCGCGGUAAUACAGAGGGUGCGAGCGUUAAUCGGAUUUACUGGGCGUAAAGCGCGCGUAGGUGGUUUGGUAAGAUGGAUGUGAAAUCCCCGGGCUCAACCUGGGAACUGCAUCCAUAACUGCCUGACUAGAGUACGGUAGAGGGUGGUGGAAUUUCCUGUGUAGCGGUGAAAUGCGUAGAUAUAGGAAGGAACACCAGUUGCGAAGGCGACCACCUGGACUGAUACUGACACUGAGGUGCGAAAGCGUGGGGAGCAAACAGGAUUAGAUACCCGGGUAGUCCCUGUCUCUUAUAC
rnacentral:rRNA from 1 species